rnacentral:rRNA from 1 species
CCUACGGGUGGCAGCAGUGAGGAAUAUUGGUCAAUGGACGAAAGUCUGAACCAGCCAUGCCGCGUGAAGGAUGACUGCCCUAUGGGUUGUAAACUGCUUUUAUAUGGGAAUAAAAUGUUCCACGUGUGUCAUUUUGUAUGUACCUUAUGAAUAAGGAUCGGCUAACUCCGUGCCAGCAGCCGCGGUAAUACGGAGGAUCCAAGCGUUAUCCGGAUUUAUUGGGUUUAAAGGGAGCGUAGGUGGAUCGAUAAGUCAGUUGUGAAAGUUCGGGGCUCAACCGUGGAAUUGCAGUUGAAACGGGCAGGCUAGAGUACAGUAGAGGUAGGCGGAAUGCGUGGUGUAGCGGUGAAAUGCUUAGAUAUCACGAAGAACACCGAUUGCGAAGGCAGCUUACUGGACUACGACUGACGCUGAGGCUCGAAAGCGUGGGGAGCAAACAGGAUUAGAUACCCGUGUAGUC